CUACGGGAUGCAGCAGUGAGGAAUAUUGCACAAUGGGGGGAACCCUGAUGCAGCAACGCCGCGUGGAGGAUGACGCAUUUCGGUGUGUAAACUCCUUUUAUAUGUCAAGAAAAUGACGGUAGCAUAUGAAUAAGCACCGGCUAACUCCGUGCCAGCAGCCGCGGUAGUACGGAGGGUGCAAGUGUUACUCGGAAUCACUGGGCGUAAAGGACGCGUAGGCGGGUUGGAAAGUCAGGUGUGAAAUCCUACAGCUUAACUGUAGAACUGCACUUGAAACUUCUAAUCUAGAGUAUGGGAGGGGGAGAUGGAAUUAGUGGUGUAGGGGUAAAAUCCGUAGAUAUCACUAGGAAUACCUAAAGCGAAGGCGAUCUCCUGGAACAUUACUGACGCUAAGGCGUGAAAGCGUGGGGAGCAAACAGGAUUAGAUACCCGGGUAGUC
rnacentral:rRNA from 1 species